ACGUAGGGGGCAAGCGUUGUCCGGAAUUAUUGGGCGUAAAGGGCGCGCAGGCGGCCUGUUAAGUCUGGUGUGAAAGACCACGGCUCAACCGCGGGGUUGCAUCAGAAACUGGCGGGCUUGAGUGCAGGAGAGGAAAGUGGAAUUCCCGGUGUAGCGGUGGAAUGCGUAGAGAUCGGGAGGAACACCAGUGGCGAAGGCGGCUCUCUGGCCUGCAACUGACGCUGAGGCGCGAAAGCGUGGGUAGCGAACAGGA
rnacentral:rRNA from 1 species